rnacentral:rRNA from 1 species
AUGGUCCAGAUACUAUCCCUCAUCCACAGCAAAAAUGGGACUCUGAGUAGCAUGCCCUACAUAUCAACAGACGUCACAAAACUAAAGGCAAAGUACCAUAGAGAGAGCAGGUUGGCUGACAUAGAAGCCACGAUAGCCUACUUCGAUGAGAAAGCGAAGGAAGAUCCAGAUUUCUUCUACAGGAUAAGAUUGGACGAUGAGGACCGUGUCAGGAACAUAUAUUGGGUGGAUGGUGCUGCAAGAAGAGCCUGCAAACAUUUCCAGGAUUGCAUUUCGUUCGACGCGACAUAUCUCACUAAUAUGUACAAGAUGCCAUGUGGUCCAUUCAUAGGAGUAAAUAACCACAAUCAGUCAUUGCAGUUCGGAUGCGGGCUCGUUCGGAACGAAGACACAGAUGGGUACACUUGGUUGUUCAAGACUUCUUGGAGUGCAUGGGUGGACUUGCUCCGAUGA